CCUACGGGAGGCUGCAGUGGGGGAUAUUGCACAAUGGGGGGAACCCUGAUGCAGCGACGCCGCGUGGGUGAAGAAGCGCCUCGGCGCGUAAAGCCCUGUCAGCAGGGAAGAAAAUGACGGUACGUGACGAAGAAGCCCCGGCUAACUACGUGCCAGCAGCCGCGGUAAUACGUAGGGGGCAAGCGUUAUCCGGAUUUACUGGGUGUAAAGGGGGCGCAGACGGCGAUGCAAGCCAGGAGUGAAAGCCCGGGGCCCAACCCCGGGACUGCUCUUGGAACUGCGUGGCUGGAGUGCAGGAGGGGCAGGCGGAAUUCCUGGUGUAGCGGUGAAAUGCGUAGAUAUCAGGAGGAACACCGGUGGCGAAGGCGGCCUACUGGACUGCAACUGACGUUGAGGCCCGAAAGCGUGGGGAGCAAACAGGAUUAGAUACCCGAGUAGUC
rnacentral:rRNA from 1 species